UGAGGAAUCUUCCACAAUGGGCGAAAGCCUGAUGGAGCAACGCCGCGUGCAGGAUGAAGGCCCUCGGGUCGUAAACUGCUUUUAUAAGUGAAGAAUAUGACGGUAACUUAUGAAUAAGCACCGGCUAACUACGUGCC
rnacentral:rRNA from 1 species